rnacentral:rRNA from 1 species
UACGAGGGGGGCAAGCGUUGUUCGGAAUUAUUGGGCGUAAAGAGUGCGUAGGCGGUUUUCUAAGUUUGGUGUGAAAUCUCCCGGCUCAACUGGGAGGGUGCGCCGAAGACUGGAAGGCUUGAGUAUGGGAGAGGUAAGCGGAAUUCCUGGUGUAGCGGUGAAAUGCGUAGAUAUCAGGAGGAACACCUGCGGUGUAGACGGCUUACUGGACCAUAACUGACGCUGAGGCACGAAAGCGUGGGUAGCAAACAGG